UAGCAUUUGCUUAUCAAGCUGCUGAAUUCUAUGGAGUGUGCUGCCCUCAAAGACCAUUAUAGACUUAAUAAGAGUAACGGGAGAACAAUAUUUGUGGCUCUCUGACUGCUGAACAUCUCAUGCUAUAGAUACACAGUUUUUCAUAUAUUUAACAUCUAUCAUAAUUGAUGGAUAAUACAAAUAUUUUCUCUAUAUUUUAAGAUGCAAAGGCUAAGAUUCAGAGAAGUCAAAUGAUGUUUUUCAAGGCCACAUAUUUGUCACUAGUAAAGCUUUGAUUUAGCACCAAGUCUGAUGACUUCAACGUUCAUGUCCAGUCCAGUGCACCAUAUAUUUAUAGGUAACUAUAACAAGUGGUUUGCAAAAUAAAAAAUAAAUACCAACAAUUGUAAGUGAAAAUAAAGAUAACAGUGGAGAUGUAACCCAGAUAAUUUCUUUUGCCAAGCCAUAUCCCAGGUGCCUGAAAUAGUGUCUUUAGAGGAUUAAGAUUUAACAUGCAUUUAUUAAACUUCUGAUACAUUUGAUAAAUUCUGGCUGAAAGUAACAGGAGAACAGAGUUUUCAAAGAAGUCUGUUGUGAGUGUGUGUGUGUAAGUAGAAUUUGAGACUGGCCUUACAAAAUGAGAAGGGUAUGCAAAUAUUAGGAAUUAAGUGAUGGGAAAUUAUUUCCUGACACAUGUGAACAGAAUAAUCUAAGACACUGUGUAGGAAGUAACUAGAAGAUUUUUAAAAACAUAGUCAAGUCUAAAUGAAUCAACCCUGAAAGUCAGUACAUAAAUUCUAAUGUUAGAAUUUUAGAUCUUAGCCUACCUGUAUCAUAGAGAGAACAAUGGUUUUAGAGUUAGAACCAUUCUAUUCUACCAAGAACC
rnacentral:lncRNA from 10 species